rnacentral:lncRNA from 1 species
ACUGGGAGCUGCAGACCAGAGCUGUUCCUAUUCAGCCAUCUUGCCGGCCACUUCCUAAUCCUUGUAUUUUUAUGUGAACUACUUGCAUGGUGCUAAUAUUUGAAAUCAAUAGUAAUUAUUGAAAGAUCUCCCUAGAUACAAAGCAUGGUGCCAGGCACUGUUAAAGAAUAGAAGAUGUAGAUCCUGUUUUUCAGGUGCUUACAAUCUAGUAAAAUAGGACAUAGACCGAGGAAGAGUAAAUAAUGACAGCAGUUCAGUUCAAAGUGAGGCAGUGCUGCAAGGAAGUGCAUGACCAGUGGCCACAUGAGUUAGCUGUACCAAAAAUCUAUGAAAGUUUUGAGGAGGAAGGCUCGUUUUAGAUUGAGCUUUAUAGAGAAGAUGACAAUUGAAUCAAGUCAUCAAGGGUAGGAAGGAUGUGGAUAUAUGAAGGUAAAGAAGGUUGGGUAUUCCAAGUCUUGACAUCUCUUCCAUUAAAAUCUUUUAAAAGGAAGCUGGAUAAUUUUCUCUGAUGAUCUGUUACCCAUGACCCAACAUACUGAUACCAGUUUAAAACUCUUCUCUGCCCUUCACUAUUUUUUCGUGCUCCCUAAAUGGCCAGCCAACUAACAGGGAUUGGAGGAAGGGAGUGGUGGUCAAGAAACAAAGAAGAUGAGAGAAUAAAGUCCUCCAGGGAGACCUGAUAGUGGUUGUGUUUAAUUUUACAUUUUAACAUGGAUCAGGAUGAAAUACAUCCUCUUCACACCAUGCAAUUUACAACCCAUUUAAAACAAAAAAUGAUUAUCUAGGCCAGGCGCUGUGGCUCACACCUGUAGUCCCAGCACUUUGGGAGGGUGAGGUGGGUGGAUCACCUGAGGUUAGCAGUUUGAGACCAGCCUGACCAACAUGGAGAAACCCCAUCUCUACUAAAAAUACAAAAUUAGCUGGGCAUGGUGGCGGAUGCCUGUAAUCCCAGCUACUCAGGAGGCUGAGGCAGGAGAAUUGCUUGAACCUGGGAGGCAGAGGUUGCGGUGAGCUGAGAUUGCACCAUUGCACUCCAGCCUGGGCAACAAGUGCAAAACUCCAUCUCAAAAAAAAAAAAAAAAAA